ensembl:lncRNA
GGUCACGUAUGGAUGUGAGAGUUGGACUAUGAAGAAAGCUGAACACUGAAGAAUUGAUGCUUUUGAACUGUGGUGUUGGAGAAGACUCCUGAGAGUCCCUUGGACUGCAAGGAGAUCCAAACAGUCCAUCCUAAAGGAAACCAGUCCUGAAUAUUCUUUGGAAGGACUGAUGCUGAAGCUGAAACUCCAAUACUUUGGCCACCUGAUGAGAAGAACUGACUCAUUGGAAAAGAGCCUGAUGCUGGGAAAGAUUGAAUGCAGGAGGAGAAGGGAACAACAGAGGACGGUGGUUGGAUGGCAUCACCGACUCAAUGGACAUGAGUUUGAGUAAACUCUGGGAGUUGGCGAUGGACAGGGAGGCCUGGAGUGCUACAGUCCAUGGGAUCGCAAAGAGUCGGACACGACUGAGCAACUGAACUGAACUAGUGGGAUAAUUUGAAAGAAAAAGAAAAGAAGCUGAGGGACUUCCCUAGUGGUCCAGUGGCUAAGACUCCAUACUCCCAAUCCCAAUACAGGGGGCCAGGUUUGAUCCCCUGUCAGGGAACUAAGAUCCCAUAUGUGGCAACUAAAGAUCUCCAAUGCUGAAACUAAGACCUGGCACAGCCAAAUAAAAAAAGAAGCGAGGGGUGUAAACUGCCAGGGAAAGAGCCUGGGGCUAAAGGUGGGGCACCUGGGACCCACAGCUAAGGGUCAGGGGAUGUUCUGCGGGUCAGCUGGGCUAGGGCGCUGACCUCGCCAUGGAAGCAAGCCACUGAAUCUCUCUAAACCUUAUCCUGUGCUGGACACUGGGGAUUCAGUGUUGAACCACAUAGACGCAUGGGUAGGGUCGGGAAGGCUAGGUAAAUGGGACACGUGGGGAGAGUGGCUGUCCCCAGAGGAGCACAGGGCGCUAGGAAGACCACCCCAGAUGGAGAGAUGGGAGCAGAGGACCGAGAGGCUCAGGCGCUUGCACCUGCGUGCUGGGCACCGGAGGCAGGAGCAUCGUGGCCACAGGUUCUGGACACUGUCAGCGAUCAGGCACCAGAGAAUGUUCCCGGCCGAGGGAAGGACAUAGCAGGCACAGCUGAGGGAUGGAGGCUGCUGUGCACCUGCACCACUUCACCAUCAGAUACCCAGGGCUUUGCAAAGAGCUCGCCGUUGGGCAUCCCCUGGACUUUUCCCUAGGUGACAUUGCCAAGGAACGGUGUGGCACUGGCCAGAUCUCCUA